UUGAACGCUGGCGGCAGGCCUAACACAUGCAAGUCGAACGGUAACAGGAAGAAGCUUGCUUCUUUGCUGACGAGUGGCGGACGGGUGAGUAAUGUCUGGGAAACUGCCUGAUGGAGGGGGAUAACUACUGGAAACGGUAGCUAAUACCGCAUAACGUCGCAAGACCAAAGAGGGGGACCUUCGGGCCUCUUGCCAUCGGAUGUGCCCAGAUGGGAUUAGCUAGUAGGUGGGGUAACGGCUCACCUAGGCGACGAUCCCUAGCUGGUCUGAGAGGAUGACCAGCCACACUGGAACUGGGACACGGUCCAGACUCCUACGGGAGGCAGCAGUGGGGAAUAUUGCACAAUGGGCGCAAGCCUGAUGCAGCCAUGCCGCGUGUAUGAAGAAGGCCUUCGGGUUGUAAAGUACUUUCAGCGGGGAGGAAGGGAGUAAAGUUAAUACCUUUGCUCAUUGACGUUACCCGCAGAAGAAGCACCGGCUAACUCCGUG
rnacentral:rRNA from 1 species